UAAUGGUCUAGUUUUUGAGGUAAUCCAUGAAGUGAGCUAACUUUCAAUUUCUUGGAACUAAUGUAUGUUUCGAAAAAACUAGAAAUAGGAGAAAUACAAUAUCUGGUAAAUACGACGAUUAGAGUGUUGGAUAAGCGUUGUCAGUUUGGAUUAUCGUGCCUUGUCUCGAUUUUCUUACAUUUGCCUUUGAUUUGUUAUUAUUCCAUACUUCUUUAGGAGCUUAAGGAUUCAACAAAAGUACUCCAAACAUUUCUAUUUCUAGACAUAAAUCUCAGUUCAUUAAAUGAUUUUCCAGUUUCAUUGCGGAUAGUCCUUUGCCAAGUCUCCAAUGGUCUGCCUCUUCUUCUCGUUCCUUCCAAGUCAAGGCGGCAUGCGAGCUCCUCGUUUGUUAUAACUCUUGGCCAUCAUAUCUUAAGUAUAUUACGCAGACAUCUGUUUAUAAACGCUUGCAGCUUUGCGUUCGUUGUCGAAGUUACCAACCAAGUUUCGGAUCCGUACAGCAACACGGUCUUAACGCAAACGUUAAAAAGUUUAACCUUUGUGCGAGUUGUGAUGUUGGAGCGCCAUAUAUGUAUGUAUAUAUUUCGAAGCCUGGAGUAUGCGUUACGCGCCUUAUUUAUUUGGUUAUUAAUGUCACUUUUUGCGCCACUGACUAUGGAGAUCAUACUUCCCAAAUAGGGAAAACUGUCAACGUCUGCAAUGGUUUUAUCACCAAUUGUAAACAACGCAGCGUUGUUAGCUUUGAUACGCAUCUAUUCCGUAUUUUGACGUGAUAACGUCUUAUAAUUCGAUUUAACAGGCUGCACGCACGAAAAAAUGUGUCGUUACCUUGCUCAUUUAUCAUUACCUUGCUCAUUUGUCGUUACCUUGCUCAUUUGUCGUUACCUUGCUCAUUGCCGUUACCUUGCUCAUUGCCGUUACCUUGAAUAAACUGCAAGCGAAAGCGCGGAACGAACGACAAAGCAAACAAAACAAACGAAAGGCAACGUUCGACAUCUUGCUCUCCCCUAUUUAAGUGAGCGUAUAUAUGUAUGUAUGUAUUUGCAUAUGCCUUCUUAUUGAUUAUUAUUAAUUUGAUUUACUGGAAGAAUUUAAAAUAAAACCAAGUUUGUUAAUAA